rnacentral:rRNA from 1 species
UACGUAGGGGGCAAGCGUUGUCCGGAAUCAUUGGGCGUAAAGCGCGUGUAGGCGGGUCGGUAAGUCCGCUCUGAAAGCCCGGGGCUCAACCCCGGGAGGCGGGUGGAUACUGUCGACCUCGAGUCCGGAAGAGGCGAGUGGAAUUCCUGGUGUAGCGGUGAAAUGCGCAGAUAUCAGGAGGAACACCAAUGGCGAAGGCAGCUCGCUGGGACGGUACUGACGCUGAGACGCGAAAGCGUGGGGAGCAAACGGG